AGAGACAGCAGUCGCCGCGGUAAUACAGAGGGUGCGAGCGUUAAUCGGAAUUACUGGGCGUAAAGCGUGCGCAGGCGGUUAUAUAAGACAGAUGUGAAAUCCCCGGGCUCAACCUGGGAACUGCAUUUGUGACUGUAUAGCUAGAGUACGGCAGAGGGGGAUGGAAUUCCGCGUGUAGCAGUGAAAUGCGUAGAUAUGCGGAGGAACACCGAUGGCGAAGGCAAUCCCCUGGGCCUGUACUGACGCUCAUGCACGAAAGCGUGGGGAGCAAACAGGAUUAGAUACCCCCGUAGUCCCUGUCUCUUAUAC
rnacentral:rRNA from 1 species